GUUCUGGGGCCUACUAGCAACCCUUACAGACACCUGGCUUUGUUUGUGCCUUGGGCUCUCUAGUUUUUACCCUCUCCUUUUUGGUCAUUCCACAGUGCCCUGUUCCCCUUAUGGGAAGGGACAUCCUCACAAAGUUGGGGACUAUGCUUUCCUCCUUCCCUCAUAUUCACUUCCAUCCAGACCCCCUGCCGCUCCCCUGACCCUCACCCUGACCUUAGGACCGUCCCCGAUUCCACCUGCCAGUGCCCUUCCCAUUGCCUCCUUCUGAGGUGGACCCUACUGUCUGGGAUGCUUCACACCAGGAGCCCAUUCAAUCAUUCAAGACCCCCUCCCUUUUCUGCCCAGUCACAAUGCCCACUCUCCCUCCUUGCUGCUGCGUCCCUCCCCUUCGCAGAGCAGCCUGUCAGGCUCCUGACACAAGCCGCUUCUUAGCCCAGGCGUGUGUGUGACUAGUCCUGGGCACUUGUCUUCACUGAUGCCAGUGACUCCAUCAUGUUCUCCCACCAGCUUUGCUCUCCCCUCCGGGGAUCGGAGCUGCUUUGGGACCCUGGCCCGAGGGCCCAGGACAAUGACCACACACCUUCCUCCAUUCACGCAGCACCCUUCUUCAUCCCCACGCAGGCCUCAUCUGGGUAAGUGACUUUGCCCCUCCCCUCCACUCCUAGAGGCGGCAGUGACAAGUGUCCUCUCUAGAACUUAGAUCUUGGCCCAGCACCAAGAUUCUCGCCCAUUCCUUUACCUUGGCGAGUUCACUCUCAGGUCUUGGUUCUCAGCUCCUGAGCACAGCUCGUGGAAGCCCUGGUCUCUUUGUCAGAUCUUUCACCAAGCAACCAAGACUCUCUAUGGGCAGAGACCAGGACUAGGGAAGUAGUGGGUGACUCCCUUCUCUCAGUCCCAGACUCCAACUCGCCAUGGGAAACCCCCAAAUCCCAUCUGACUCUCCUCUCAGCUGCCUCCUGGCCCACCUCCUUGCCCACUUAGCCCGACUCUGUUUGCUCCUGAUCUAAAGGCCCAUGGACCAAUUCAACCUUCCAAUCUUCAUGACUUUUGUGAGCGCUCAGGAAAAUGGAAGGAAAUCCCUAUGUGCAGGCUUUCUCCUUUCCCCACUCUAAGCCUUCCCUUUGCUCCUCCUGCUCCCCAACCCACCUUCUACCUGCCACUAAAGCUCUGGAUUCCUCCAGAGACCCUACUUCUAGGCAAACAAGGGACCCAGAGCUCUCCUACCUUGUGAAGCCCUAGGCAGCCAUCUCCCUGGCCACGGCCACACUGAAGCUGACAUUGAAAUACGAAGGACAGACUCAGCUUGGUGAGAGGCCUAAGGGGAAAAAAAGAAGAAAAGUGUCUAUUUAACUUUUCCCUUGGCUACAAGGCAGAAGAAUGACUUCAAAACUUUCUCUCUCUAUCUCCCUAUCUUACAAGCACAUUUCACCUUUACAUAGCUGAAGAGGAGGGAUUUGCUCUAGGAGUCCUCGGACACAGGCUGGGGCCAACCUUUGCCCCUGUGGCUUAGCUAUUGAGGGGUCUUGACCCUACUGUUCAGGGAAGGGCCCCUUGCCUACCAAUGUUGGCCGCAGCCUCUCUACUCAUUCAUGAGUCGAAAGAAACAGACCUUUGGUGCCCCACUCACCUAAAGAGUCUCCUCACCUACCAGGGCUUACGUUCCUUACCCCCCAGUGGCCAUUUAUCUCUACAGGUUUCCCUGGUGGAAGUUCCCAGUCUUAUUCUCCACAGUGCUCACCUUUAAACCCUGCUACUCUCCCCCCACCCCUCAGGACUCUCCCACCUCUCCUCUCACCCAUUCAUGCAUUGGAACUCUGGAGGAGAUUCUCCCACACCCCUCCCACACACAGGAAGGCCCCUUGCUCCAGGUCAUAUACACAUGGCCCACAGAUGGCUCCUCCUUCCUGCAGGAGGGAGUCCGUGGGGCAGGGUCUGCUACACUCUAACCUCGGUUGUGGAAGAGCUUCCUCCCCCAAAACACAUCCAAUCAGCAGGCUGAACUGGUCGCCCUCACCAGAGCCUUCACUUUGGCAAAGGGAGCCUCCCUCCAUGUCCACACUGACUCUAAAUACCCCGUCCACAUGCUUCUCUCCCACUCUGCUAUCUGGAAGGAGAGCGGAUUCCUUACCACCAAGGGAACUUCAUUACUAAUGCCCCCUGUAUCUCUGAUCUCCUUUAGGCCUCAGAGCUUCCCACUGCCAUUGUGUCUGAAGGAUGGCAGCUAAGAACCCCCUUCUCCAGUGGACACUUCCUUUCCUGACCUCUCUCCUUGCCACAGGCCUUUUGCUAAUGCUUGCCUCCUGCGCCAUUAGAUGUAUUCAAGAUGAGGUGCCAAGGAUCUCUAACCAAACUGUGAACCAGCUUCUGUCACAGGACUUCCAACCCCUCACCAAACUUGGCCAUCCAGAGUCAGCGUCGCCCAGCGCCUCCCGCCCUCUCCACUGCCUCCAUGACACCCCACACCCCUCACAAGGGUCCAGAUGCUGCCCCUUCCCAGCAGGAAGAAGUAAUAGAAGAUCCAUCUAUGCCCCUGUCCCUUAAGGGACCCAAUAACAAACAAAAAGCGGGUGGGGGGAGGAUGUAAGGUCCUUGCUUAGCUUCUGGAAGGCCAUCUUAAGUGACAGCCACCAUUUUUUAAAAGGUAUUAUUUUUUUUAAGUAUUUAUCUUUAGUUGGACAAAAUACCUUUAUUUUAUUUAUUUUUAUAUGGUGCCGAGGAUCGAACCCAGGGCCUCUCAUGUGCUAGGCACACACUCUACCAUUGAGCCACAACCCCAGCCCAGUAAAACGUAUUUUUUUUUAUCCAGUUUUUCCUUUUUUUAAUUGAUUUAUUUUUAAAAAAAUACAGGACAACAGUGGAAUGCAUUACAAUCCUUAUUACACAUAUAAAGCACAGUCUUUCAUAUCUCUGUAUAUAAAGUACGUUCACACCAAUUUAUGCCAUUAUACAUGUAAUUUUUUUGCAUUACAAUUCUUAAUAUACAUAUAUACCACAAUUUUUCAUAUCUCAGUUUGUAUAUAAGGUAUGUUGACACCCAAUUCAAGUCUUCAGACAUGUACUUUGUAU
rnacentral:lncRNA from 1 species